AACGAACGCUGGCGGCAUGCCUAACACAUGCAAGUCGAACGAGACCUUCGGGUCUAGUGGCGCACGGGUGCGUAACGCGUGGGAACCUGCCCUUAGGUUCGGAAUAACUCCCCGAAAGGGGUGCUAAUACCGGAUAAUGUCUUCGGACCAAAGAUUUAGCGCCUUUGGAUGGGCCCGCGUUGGAUUAGCUAGUUGGUAGGGUAAAAGCCUACCAAGGCGACGAUCCAUAGCUGGUCUGAGAGGAUGAUCAGCCACACUGGGACUGAGACACGGCCCAGACUCCUACGGGAGGCAGCAGUGGGGAAUAUUGGACAAGGGGCGAAAGCCUGAUCCAGCAAUGCCGCGUGAGUGAUGAAGGCCUUAGGGUUGUAAAGCUCUUUUACCCGGGAUGAUAAUGACAGUACCGGGAGAAUAAGCGCCGGCUAACUCCGUG
rnacentral:rRNA from 1 species